GACACGGUCCAAACUCCUACGGGAGGCAGCAGUGAGGAAUAUUGGUCAAUGGACGAGAGUCUGAACCAGCCAAGUAGCGUGAAGGAUGACUGCCCUAUGGGUUGUAAACUUCUUUUAUACGGGAAUAAAGUGAGGCACGUGUGCCUUUUUGUAUGUACCGUAUGAAUAAGGAUCGGCUAACUCCGUGCCAGCAGCCGCGGUAAUACGGAGGAUCCGAGCGUUAUCCGGAUUUAUUGGGUUUAAAGGGAGCGUAGGCGGAUGCUUAAGUCAGUUGUGAAAGUUUGCGGCUCAACCGUAAAAUUGCAGUUGAUACUGGCAGUCUUGAGUGCAGUAGAGGUGGGCGGAAUUCGUGGUGUAGCGGUGAAAUGCUUAGAUAUCACGAAGAACUCCGAUUGCGAAGGCAGCUCACUGGAGUGUAACUGACGCUGAUGCUCGAAAGUGUGGGUAUCAAACAGGAUUAGAUACCCUGGUAGUCCACACAGUAAACGAUGAAUACUCGCUGUUUGCGAUAUACAGUAAGCGGCCAAGCGAAAGCAUUAAGUAUUCCACCUGGGGAGUACGCCGGCAACGGUGAAACUCAAAGGAAUUGACGGGGGCCCGCACAAGCGGAGGAACAUGUGGUUUAAUUCGAUGAUACGCGAGGAACCUUACCCGGGCUUGAAUUGCAACUGAAUGAUGUGGAGACAUGUCAGCCGCAAGGCAGUUGUGAAGGUGCUGCAUGGUUGUCGUCAGCUCGUGCCGUGAGGUGUCGGCUUAAGUGCCAUAACGAGCGCAACCCUUAUCGAUAGUUACCAUCAGGUUAUGCUGGGGACUCUGUCGAGACUGCCGUCGUAAGAUGUGAGGAAGGUGGGGAUGACGUCAAAUCAGCACGGCCCUUACGUCCGGGGCUACACACGUGUUACAAUGGGGGGUACAGAAGGCAGCUACACGGCGACGUGAUGCUAAUCCCGAAAGCCUCUCUCAGUUCGGAUUGGAGUCUGCAACCCGACUCCAUGAAGCUGGAUUCGCUAGUAAUCGCGCAUCAGCCACGGCGCGGUGAAUACGUUCCCGGGCCUUGUACACACCGCCCGUCAAGCCAUGAAAGCCGGGGGUACCUGAAGUACGUAACCGCAAGGAGCGUCCUAGGGUAAAACUGGUGAUUGGGGCUAAGUCGUAACAAGGUAGCCGUACCGGAAGGUGCGGCUG
rnacentral:rRNA from 1 species